UACAGAGGUGGCAAGCGUUGUUCGGAAUUACUGGGCGUAAAGGGCACGCAGGCGGUGCGGCGCGUUUCGCGUGACAGCGGAGGGCUUAACUCUCCGAGGAUGCGAAAGACGGCGGCACUUGAGGGCCAGGAGAGGGACACGGAAUCCGGGUGAGUGGUGAAAUGGCGUAGAGAUCCGGAGGACACCGAAGGCGAAGGCAGUGCCUGGCUGGUGACUGACGCUGGAGGUGCGAAAGCUAGGGGAGCGAA
rnacentral:rRNA from 1 species